AGAGUUUGAUCCUGGCUCAGGAUGAACGCUAGCGGCAGGCCUAAUACAUGCAAGUCGAACGGUGUCUUCGGACAUAGUGGCGCACGGGUGCGUAACACGUAUGCAACCUACCUUACAUUGGGGGAUAGCCUUUCGAAAGGGAGAUUAAUACCGCAUAAGACAGUAGCUGGGCAUCCAGCAGCUGUUAAAGAUUUAUCGAUGUAAGAUGGGCAUGCGUCCAAUUAGUUAGUUGGCGAGGUAACGGCUCACCAAGACUUUGAUUGGUAGGGGAACUGAGAGGUCAAUCCCCCACACUGGCACUGAGAUACGGGCCAGACUCCUACGGGAGGCAGCAGUAGGGAAUAUUGGGCAAUGGACGCAAGUCUGACCCAGCCAUGCCGCGUGCAGGAUGAAGGCGUUAUGCGUUGUAAACUGCUUUUAUACAGGAAGAAACGACUCUUGCGAGAGGCAUUGACGGUACUGUAUGAAUAAGCACCGGCUAACUCCGUGCCAGCAGCCGCGGUAAUACGGGAGGGUGCAAGCGUUG
rnacentral:rRNA from 1 species